rnacentral:rRNA from 1 species
GGUUAAGCGACUAAGCGUACACGGUGGAUGCCCUGGCAGUCAGAGGCGAUGAAGGGCGUGCUAAUCUGCGAUAAGCGCCGGUAAGGUGAUAUGAACCGUUAUAACCGGCGAUACCCGAAUGGGGAAACCCAGUGUGACUCGUCACACUAUCAUUAACUGAAUCCAUAGGUUAAUGAGGCGAACCGGGGGAACUGAAACAUCUAAGUACCCCGAGGAAAAGAAAUCAACCGAGAUUCCCCCAGUAGCGGCGAGCGAACGGGGAGGAGCCCAGAGCCUGAAUCAGCAUGUGUGUUAGUGGAAGCGUCUGGAAAGUCGCGCGAUACAGGGUGACAGCCCCGUACACAAAAGCGCAUGUGUUGUGAGCUCGAUGAGUAGGGCGGGACACGUGGUAUCCUGUCUGAAUAUGGGGGGACCAUCCUCCAAGGCUAAAUACUCCUGACUGACCGAUAGUGAACCAGUACCGUGAGGGAAAGGCGAAAAGAACCCCGGCGAGGGGAGUGAAAAAGAACCUGAAACCGUGUACGUACAAGCAGUGGGAGCCCCACCACCAAAGCAUUCUCUGGUGUUGAAGGCCCUGCAAAGCAGCAUCGCGGUGGCGGAGCGUCGUUUGCGACGCCCAACACAAAAAACAAGCGGUGAGUGCUUUGGGGUGGGGUGACUGCGUACCUUUUGUAUAAUGGGUCAGCGACUUAUAUUCUGUAGCAAGGUUAACCGAAUAGGGGAGCCGUAGGGAAACCGAGUCUUAACUGGGCGUUAAGUUGCAGGGUAUAGACCCGAAACCCGGUGAUCUAGCCAUGGGCAGGUUGAAGGUUGGGUAACACUAACUGGAGGACCGAACCGACUAAUGUUGAAAAAUUAGCGGAUGACCUGUGGCUGGGGGUGAAAGGCCAAUCAAACCGGGAGAUAGCUGGUUCUCCCCGAAAGCUAUUUAGGUAGCGCCUCGUGAAUUCAUCUCCGGGGGUAGAGCACUGUUUCGGCUAGGGGGCCAUCCCGGCUUACCAACCCGAUGCAAACUGCGAAUACCGGAGAAUGUUAUCACGGGAGACACACGGCGGGUGCUAACGUCCGUCGUGAAGAGGGAAACAACCCAGACCGCCAGCUAAGGUCCCAAAGUCAUGGUUAAGUGGGAAACGAUGUGGGAAGGCCCAGACAGCCAGGAUGUUGGCUUAGAAGCAGCCAUCAUUUAAAGAAAGCGUAAUAGCUCACUGGUCGAGUCGGCCUGCGCGGAAGAUGUAACGGGGCUAAACCAUGCACCGAAGCUGCGGCAGCGACGCUGAUGCGUUGUUGGGUAGGGGAGCGUUCUGUAAGCCUGUGAAGGUGUGCUGUGAGGCAUGCUGGAGGUAUCAGAAGUGCGAAUGCUGACAUAAGUAACGAUAAAGCGGGUGAAAAGCCCGCUCGCCGGAAGACCAAGGGUUCCUGUCCAACGUUAAUCGGGGCAGGGUGAGUCGACCCCUAAGGCGAGGCCGAAAGGCGUAGUCGAUGGGAAACAGGUUAAUAUUCCUGUACUUGGUGUUACUGCGAAGGGGGGACGGAGAAGGCUAUGUUGGCCGGGCGACGGUUGUCCCGGUUUAAGCGUGUAGGCUGGUUUUCCAGGCAAAUCCGGAAAAUCAAGGCUGAGGCGUGAUGACGAGGCACUACGGUGCUGAAGCAACAAAUGCCCUGCUUCCAGGAAAAGCCUCUAAGCAUCAGGUAACAUCAAAUCGUACCCCAAACCGACACAGGUGGUCAGGUAGAGAAUACCAAGGCGCUUGAGAGAACUCGGGUGAAGGAACUAGGCAAAAUGGUGCCGUAACUUCGGGAGAAGGCACGCUGACACGUAGGUGAAGUGAUUUACUCAUGGAGCUGAAGUCAGUCGAAGAUACCAGCUGGCUGCAACUGUUUAUUAAAAACACAGCACUGUGCAAACACGAAAGUGGACGUAUACGGUGUGACGCCUGCCCGGUGCCGGAAGGUUAAUUGAUGGGGUCAGCGCAAGCGAAGCUCCUGAUCGAAGCCCCGGUAAACGGCGGCCGUAACUAUAACGGUCCUAAGGUAGCGAAAUUCCUUGUCGGGUAAGUUCCGACCUGCACGAAUGGCGUAAUGAUGGCCAGGCUGUCUCCACCCGAGACUCAGUGAAAUUGAACUCGCUGUGAAGAUGCAGUGUACCCGCGGCAAGACGGAAAGACCCCGUGAACCUUUACUAUAGCUUGACACUGAACAUUGAGCCUUGAUGUGUAGGAUAGGUGGGAGGCUUUGAAGUGUGGACGCCAGUCUGCAUGGAGCCGACCUUGAAAUACCACCCUUUAAUGUUUGAUGUUCUAACGUGGACCCGUAAUCCGGGUUGCGGACAGUGUCUGGUGGGUAGUUUGACUGGGGCGGUCUCCUCCUAAAGAGUAACGGAGGAGCACGAAGGUUGGCUAAUCCUGGUCGGACAUCAGGAGGUUAGUGCAAUGGCAUAAGCCAGCUUGACUGCGAGCGUGACGGCGCGAGCAGGUGCGAAAGCAGGUCAUAGUGAUCCGGUGGUUCUGAAUGGAAGGGCCAUCGCUCAACGGAUAAAAGGUACUCCGGGGAUAACAGGCUGAUACCGCCCAAGAGUUCAUAUCGACGGCGGUGUUUGGCACCUCGAUGUCGGCUCAUCACAUCCUGGGGCUGAAGUAGGUCCCAAGGGUAUGGCUGUUCGCCAUUUAAAGUGGUACGCGAGCUGGGUUUAGAACGUCGUGAGACAGUUCGGUCCCUAUCUGCCGUGGGCGCUGGAGAACUGAGGGGGGCUGCUCCUAGUACGAGAGGACCGGAGUGGACGCAUCACUGGUGUUCGGGUUGUCAUGCCAAUGGCACUGCCCGGUAGCUAAAUGCGGAAGAGAUAAGUGCUGAAAGCAUCUAAGCACGAAACUUGCCCCGA